rnacentral:rRNA from 1 species
ACGGAAGGCAGCAGUGGGGAGUGUUGCACAAUGGGCGCAAGCCUGAUGCAGCGAUGCCGCGUGAGGGAAGAAGGUUUUCGGAUUGUAAACCUCUGUCAACAGGGACGAAAAUGACGGUACCUGUGAAGGAAGCUCCGGCUAACUACGUGCCAGCAGCCGCGGUAAUACGUAGGGAGCAAGCGUUAUCCGGAAUUACUGGGUGUAAAGGGAGUGUAGGCGGGACUGUAAGUCAGAUGUGAAAUAUGCCGGCUCAACUGGCAGACUGCAUUUGAAACUGCGGUUCUUGAGUGAAGUAGAGGUAAGCGGAAUUCCUAGUGUAGCGGUGAAAUGCGUAGAUAUUAGGAGGAACAUCAGUGGCGAAGGCGGCUUACUGGGCUUUAACUGACGCUGAGGCUCGAAAGCGUGGGGAGCAAACAGGAUUAGAUACCCUGGUA